GUGAUUGCCAUCUUGGCUUAAAACUAUAUCCAUCAACACCUGUGAACUGUCUGAUUGAAUCUUUAUUGAUUCGAUUUUACAAACAUUGUGUAAUGAACGUCAUAACAUUAUAAUAAAAAA
rnacentral:misc_RNA from 1 species